UACGUAGGGGGCAAGCGUUGUCCGGAUUUAUUGGGCGUAAAGAGCGUGUAGGCGGUCAGGUAGGUCCGUUGUGAAAACUCGAGGCUCAACCUCGAGACGCCGAUGGAAACCAUCUGGCUAGAGUCCGGAAGAGGAGAGUGGAAUUCCUGGUGUAGCGGUGAAAUGCGCAGAUAUCAGGAAGAACACCCGUGGCUAAGGCGGCUCUCUAGUACGGUACUGACGCUGAGACGCGAAGCGUGGGAGCGAACAGG
rnacentral:rRNA from 1 species